rnacentral:misc_RNA from 1 species
UGUCUGGGUUCGAGCCUGUGAGA